rnacentral:rRNA from 1 species
GACGAACGCUGGCGGCGCGCUUAACACAUGCAAGUCGAACGGAAAGGCCUGCUUGCCCUUGUGGAUUGCGGGUACUCGAGGGGCGAACGGGUGAGUAAAACGUGAGGGAUGGGCGACCAACUGGGGGAUAAGCCGGGGAAAGGGGGGCUAAUUCACGAGAGGACUGCAGGGUGGGGCCUGUGGUGGAAAAAGAUUUUAGAGUGGUUGUGGAUGAGCUCUCGGCCUAUCAGCUGGGUGGGGGGGUAAGGGCCUACCAAGGCGGCGAAGGCGAGCCGGCCUGAGAGGGUGCACGGCCACAUUGGGACUCGCAUACGCCCCAGACUCCGCCUGCAGGCAGCAGUGGGGAAUAUUGCACACUGGGCGGAAGCCUGAUGCAGCGACGCCGCGUGGGGGAUGCCGGCCUUCGGGUUGUAAACUCCUUUCGACCGCGAGUAAGCCACCUGGUUGGAAGGGUGGUGACGGUAGUGGUAGAAGAAGCACCGGCUAACUACGUG